rnacentral:lncRNA from 1 species
AGUGCACUUGGAGGAUUCCGUGGAAGUCGAUGCCUGAAAGCCUAGCUCCUUAAGGGAUCGACUUUUUUCCUUGGAAGAAAAAGUCGAUCUUCUGAAAUGUCGAUCCCUUGCUGGCUGAUUUCCUCGCAAGACUCCCUAGCUGGCGACUUGGAAAAAAGUCGAUCACUUUUUUCGAAAAAGUCGAGGAGCUUUUAUCGUGAGUAUCUUUGAGUCACAGACGGCGCCAACUGAUGGGGGUGAAACCCGACCAGUACUCCAAGACGCGCAAGCAAGCGCCAAGCGGGGAACUCCGCGGGAAACCGGACCGGAACUCAAGUGUGCAGAGCUCUGCUUCGCUAGGAAU